UUUCCGUAGGUGAACCUGCGGAAGGAUCAUUACUGAGUGAGUGCCCCUCGGGGUCCAACCUCCUACCCGUGUUUAACGAACCUUGUUGCUUCGGCGGGCCCUCCUCACGGCCCCCGGGGGGCCUCUGCCCCCGGGCCCGCGCCCGCCGACGCCCCCUGUGAAUGCCGCCAGAAGUAUGCAAACUGAGUCAAUAACUGAACUAUUUAAUACUUUCAACAACGGAAACCUAGGUUACCGCAACGAUGAAGAACGCAACAGAUGGGAAAAGUCAAGCUCUCA
rnacentral:misc_RNA from 1 species